GAUGAACGCUGGCGGCGUGCCUAAUACAUGCAAGUCGAACGCUGGAAAUCUAGCUUGCUAGGUUGAAGGAGUGGCGAACGGGUGAGUAAUACAUAAGCAACCUACCCACGAAGACUGGGAUAAUCUCUGGAAACGGGGACUAAUACCGGAUAGGUAAUCGGAAGGCAUCUUCUGAUUAUUAAAGGUUAAAAACACUGGUGGAUGGGCUUAUGGCGCAUUAGUUAGUUGGUGAGGUAACGGCCCACCAAGACGAUGAUGCGUAGCCGGCCUGAGAGGGUGAACGGCCACAUUGGGACUGAGACACGGCCCAGACUCCUACGGGAGGCAGCAGUAGGGAAUUUUCGGCAAUGGGGGAAACCCUGACCGAGCAACGCCGCGUGAGUGAUGACGGCCUUCGGGGUGUAAAGCUCUGUUGUAAGGGAAGAACGGUAGAUAGAGAAUAUCUAAAUGACGGUACCUUACCAGAAAGCCACGGCUAACUACGUG
rnacentral:rRNA from 1 species